UCUUAGAUUUGUUAUAUUAUGUGUUCUGAGUUACCAUGGACUGUAUCUGAAGGACUAAAAAUUUUUAAAUAUAUUUCUCAAUACAUACUUCAUGGUUCUUCUCCAAAAUUGUACUGAAUUAUUGUCAUACGAUUAUCUGUAACUAAUUCUUAACCAGGAAUUAUUUUCCAUAGCUUGGUUUCAACUCGCCCCCUUUCCUUAUCAUGUGUGUACUCACCGCACAGGACAAAUGGGCAUUGCAGUAGAGACAGGACCCCAAGGAGACACAGUGCUGGGAAAAUUCCCUGCAACCUGGGGGACAUGGUGAAGAGUCUCAGAGAUCGUGCACUGCGACCCAGUGUUCUCAGAUGCCCCGAAUGAGGCUGAAGUGAAGCUCUAAGUCAGUAGGAAACUGAUGCCCGAACCAAAAUCUCUGCCAAGGGCACAGAAGAAGUUACCAACCUGAAUUUCGUGUGUCCCCUCUUGGACCAGCUGUGUAUAUUUGUCAUUUAAAGAUACACAGAUAUUCAUCCACAGAGGAUCAUAAGCACUGGGAAAUGUCUGAAAAUGACCUAUGCCGCCCAGCUGAAUUGAGGUAAGUGCAAAUGAAGCAUGCAACAACCAAAGUGCUUAGCUCUCAAAACUAAAGAGGAACAUUCCUCAGAAAUAAGUGACUCAGAAAUAAGUGCAUCCGUCUGUAAUAUUGAUGACAGCACACAAUUCAAUUUCCUUCCCUGGAGAGAAAGGAAAGUGGAUAAACACACCAUACAGUUGCUUCAUUUUAUGAAGAGGAACUAGAAUAAACCCUGAGGAUGUCAGAUAAAAGAGGUGAUUUCAAUAGUUUAACAGAAGAUUAUUUUUUUAGAAAGCACUUCUGCUUCUCAUGUUCCAACGUCUACAUAAAUCAUUGCAUUUAAUUUCUUCAAAUAAAAAUAUGACGUAGGUGUUAUAGCUACAUGUAACAGAUGAGGAACCUAACUGGGAAAGACCGAGUAAAUCUCCCCCAAACCUUUCUCCUCAGUGGUCGUGUCAGAUUCUGAACCCAGAUCGGAUUCAAAUCCUAAGCUCCUUCCGUUGUACCUUUUGGGGAACAUCAUCGGAACGAUGGGACCACCAGUUUGCCUAUGAGCUGGACCUGUACCCUCGAAGGCUCCCACGCCUCCCCUGUCCUUGGAAUGUGGGUUCCUCUCCCUUUCUCACUCCUCCAGGCUGCUUGAAGGACAUAUCCUUGAAAUAGUGAUGUGGUGUUGAGAACACCUGCAUGGUAUAUGCGACCGAAACCAGUUUAGGCCUCUUCAUAAACUAAAGAUUUGGUGGGAAGGUACAGGGAUCCAUCUGUCUUCCCGCCACCCAGGACAGUACUCAUAUGUCAGUUCCCUUUGCUUAUUAAAACCACCCAUCCGGAGGGGUCUGCCUCUUCUGUCUCUCCCUGCCCUCCUCAUAGAGGGGUCAGUUUCCCAUUAUAGCUGGGAAGCUACCAGGAGUGUUGCAAACCAACAGUGUCAAAGAAUUUCCAUCUAAAGUACGGGAUCCUGAAUCUAUUACUUAGGGGAGUAUGCCUAGGAACAUUCUGCCUCUACCAGGGUGGAGAAGACCCCAGAACAACUCCCUCUUCAUCACGUCGUAUGAAUGUCAACGCCUCCUUAACUGACCUAUGGAUACAUUGCAUCAUAAUGAAAAUCAAUAGCAUUUUGAUUUAAACAAAUGAUAAGCUGAUUCUACAAUUCAUAUGGAAUGUAAGGGAUCAAAAAUCUCUAAGAUGAGGGAGGAGAGAGAUGGAGGGGGGAUGAAGGGGAUAAGGGAGGAGAGGAGCAAAACCAAAGAACUACAUGGCCACAUAUCAAGACCCGUUAUGAAUCUUCAGUAAAUAAGAUAGUGUGGUAUUUUUGUAGGAAACCAAAUGGACUAAAGGUUAACAAUUGAGAGUCAGGUAAUAAGCCCCAAGCAGGCACGAUCAAUUGAUUUAUGACAAACUGACACACUACAGAGCAAUGGGGGAGACGAAGGUCCUUUCAAUAAAAGGCACCAGGUCAAUUGGAUAUGUACAUGGGAAAAAAAGGAAUCUUGGUUCUUUACUUCACACCGUGACAAUUUUGGGUGGUCAUGAAUAUAACUGUGAAAGUAAAGCCAUAAAUCUCCUAAAAGAAAAUAUGGGUCAAAUACAGUUGUGUUCCUAGGGCAGACAUAGAUAUCAUUUCUUUAUUUCUCCCCCCUUUAUUUAUAUCUAUUUUGGCACCAGUUUAUUUUUAAAAGGCAUACAGGCAAUAACCAAAGAAAAUAUUUACUCCAACCUUAACUCCUGCCAAGUAUUGUCUGUCAUAAAAUUGUUCCACGAAGUUCCAGUCUGCUAAAGAUUUUAAAUUGAUUAAUCGUCAUCCUCAUCAGAAUGUCUUGUCUUCUGUUGAAUUGAACUGUCGUGUUUCAAGAGUUUCCACUAAACUUGGUCCUGAUACCUGCCCA